UACAGAGGGUGCAAGCGUUAAUCGGAAUUACUGGGCGUAAAGCGUGCGUAGACGGUUAUUUAAGUCGGGUGUGAAAGCCCCGGGCUCAACCUGGGAAUUGCAUUCGAGACUGAAUAGCUAGGGUGCGGAAGAGGGAAGCGGAAUUUCCGGUGUAGCGGUGAAAUGCGUAGAUAUCGGAAGGAACACCAGUGGCGAAAGCGGCUUCCUGGUCCAGCACCGACGUUCAGGCACGAAAGCUAGGGGAGCAAACGGG
rnacentral:rRNA from 1 species